rnacentral:rRNA from 1 species
UACGGGGGGAGCAAGCGUUGUUCGGAUUUACUGGGCGUAAAGGGCGCGUAGGCGGCCACCGCAAGUCGGUUGUGAAAUCUCUGGGCUUAACCCAGAAAGGUCAACCGAUACUGCGGGGCUAGAGUGCAGAAGGGGCAACUGGAAUUCUCGGUGUAGCGGUGAAAUGCGCAGAUAUCAGGAGGAACACCAAUGGCGAAGGCAGCUCGCUGGGACGGUACUGACGCUGAGGCGCGAAAGCGUGGGGAGCAAACAGG